rnacentral:rRNA from 1 species
AUUGAACGCUGGCGGCAUGCUUUACACAUGCAAGUCGAACGGUAACAGGUUAAGCUGACGAGUGGCGAACGGGUGAGUAAUGCAUCGGAACGUGCCCGGUCGUGGGGGAUAACGCAGCGAAAGCUGCGCUAAUACCGCAUACGAUCUAAGGAUGAAAGCGGGGGACCGUAAGGCCUCGCGCGAUCGGAGCGGCCGAUGUCAGGUUAGGUAGUUGGUGGGGUAAAGGCUCACCAAGCCAACGAUCUGUAGCUGGUCUGAGAGGACGACCAGCCACACUGGGACUGAGACACGGCCCAGACUCCUACGGGAGGCAGCAGUGGGGAAUUUUGGACAAUGGGCGAAAGCCUGAUCCAGCAAUGCCGCGUGCAGGAAGAAGGCCUUCGGGCUGUAAACUGCUUUUGUACGGAGCGAAAAGGUCUCCUCUAAUACAGGGGGCUCAUGACGGUACCGUAAGAAUAAGCACCGGCUAACUACGUGCCAGCCGCCGCAGUAA